rnacentral:snRNA from 1 species
UUGCUUCAGCAGCACAUCUACUAAAACUGGAAUGAUAGAGGAUUAGCAUGGCCCUACCUAAGGGUGACAUGUAAGUUCAUGAAAUGUUUCAUAUUUAA